rfam:TPA: Bos taurus chromosome 3, whole genome shotgun sequence.
UCCUUGGUGGUUCAGUGGUUAGGACUCCACACUUUCACUGCCAAGGGCCCAGGUUCGAUCCCUGGUCAGGAAA